rnacentral:ncRNA from 1 species
AGGUUAUUGACAAAGUGCCCGCAGCGGCGAAAACAGGUAGAUCAUAAAGACGCCGUCAAAUCGUCCCGGAUGGCUCGAGCCGCGCCAUCCGUGGCGCGGACGCUUU